rnacentral:lncRNA from 1 species
GGUGGCUUUACAUCAACAUCAACAAAACCCAAAGAAGAGAGCAGAGAGAAAAGAGGCAUAGAAGAGGAGAAAGGAGAAGAACUGUGAGCUCUGGAAAUAAGAGAGAAGAAGGAAAAGACCAUCAAGAUCAACAAAAGCGAAAGAAGAGAGCAGAGAGAAAAGAGGAAUAUAAGAGGCGAAAGCAGGAGAUGUGUGAGCUCUGGAAAGAAGAGAGAAGAAAGAAAAGACCGGUUGCAAGAUUAGGUAGCAUUUGAGCUGUUGUCAAUUGUCAAGCUGCUGUUGACAUUCCAAUCAUCUUUCUCAG